AUGUCAAGCACCGGGAAAUCACCUGGCGAAGUCCCUGGGACGAGGACAAACCCAUGGCAGCUCUGGGCCUGUGAGCUGGGUCCUCACCACAGUAUCCAGCUGCUGAACAGCAAGCGCUCCUGGACUUUUCCAGUAUCUUACACUGAUUAAAGAAGUGAUGACUAAAAAAGCCAACUGCCUUACAGACUCCACUGAAUGUGAAGCUAUAACUUGUACAGACAGGAAAAAACACUUGUUAUUGUUUCGCUCAAAGUUACCUUAAUUUUUAUCUAUGCAUUUGGGUGAGUAUGUGGCCCUCAUAGCCCACUAUUCUUAGUCUGAGAUACAAGGUGCGAAUUCUUGCCAAGAGCAGCAGCUUCAAAAGCCAAUCACAAAACUGGGAGAGGAUUUACCUUUCCUAGAACUAAAUGCGUAAACUCAGCAGCAGCUGACACUGACCAUUAAAAUCAGGGAGCACAGUAGCAAGCCUUUGAUUCCCAGUGACUGUCAAGAGACUUGAAAAUAACUGCUCUUUUCCAAAAAAGAAUGUUUUCCUAAAUAGUGGAAGAAGUAAAGAAAUAGCUGGUCUGACCUCCAAGAUUCUCCUCCUGGAAACCACCUAAAGCAAUGGUCUAGGAUGCCGAUGAGCAGAACGUGCUCUCCGGAACCUCAGGAACCUCACGUCUAGCUUCACACGCCUACUUCGGUACGUGAGCCAGGUGGCCACACGUCUGGGCCCACAAGCCACCAGUGGCAGUGCAGUCGCAUGCAGCAGCAGCAGCACAUCAAAAUGAAACCAGCAUUGUUAACCACCCCCAGAAUGUCUGGGGACUCAUUUCAUCAUCCUCAAUCUACAAACUGAAAAACAUGAAGGAUGCAAGUCAGCAGCAUUAACUCAUUUGUGCACUCAAGUGCUGAGAGAAUGCAGAAUUUACAGGGUUAAGAGGAAAUAAGCCAUUGAAAUAGUUAUAAAAAUGGUGAAGGAUGAUAUUUAAAUACUAGUUUGCUCCUCCUCAUACAAGUGGAAGAAAGUGUGGGGCUAGGGUCCGGCACUAGGGCCACGAGGCUGACCCUGUAGCACAGGCACUGAAGAACCUCCAAUGCCACGGUUCUGCAGGAGGAGAAAUCCCAGGGGUGUACAGUAUUCCUGAGAAAGAUCCCAGAUUUUCUGAAUCAGUCUUAACCUGAUUUGUUUUACAGAGUUAUAUGCUGUUAUGCCUCUGACAUAUUUAGAAAUGGUCACUUUAUUUUCAUCCAAACAGCUCAGCGUAGUACAAAUAAUGGCAGAAAGAUCCAUUAGUUCAGAUUCAGCUUACUUUUUUAAUACUGGGGAAUAAACCAAAAAAAACAUAAGUAGUUUGUGUCA
rnacentral:lncRNA from 1 species